GAUGAACGCUGACAGAAUGCUUAACACAUGCAAGUCGAUUCGAUUUACCUUCGGGUAUUGAGGAUGGCGGACGGGUGAGUAACGCGUAAGGAACUUGCCUCUUGGUCUGGGACAACUGUUGGAAACGACAGCUAAUACCGGAUAUUAUGAGAUUCUCGCAUGGGAAACUUAUGAAAGCUAUAUGCGCCAAGAGAGAGCCUUGCGUUCCAUUAGCUAGUUGGUGGGGUAACGGCCCACCAAGGCGACGAUGGAUAGCCGGCCUGAGAGGGUGAACGGCCACAAGGGGACUGAGACACGGCCCUUACUCCUACGGGAGGCAGCAGUGGGGAAUAUUGGACAAUGGGCCACAAGCCUGAUCCAGCAAUUCUGUGUGCACGAUGAAGGUCUUCGGAUUGUAAAGUGCUUUCAGUUGGGAAGAAGAAAGUGACGGUACCAACAGAAGAAGCGACGGCUAAAUACGUGCCAGCAGCCGCGGUAAUACGUAUGUCGCAAGCGUUAUCCGGAUUUAUUGGGCGUAAAGCGCGUCUAGGCGGAAAAAUAAGUCUGAUGUUAAAAUGCGGGGCUCAACUCCGUAUUGCGUUGGAAACUGUUUUUCUAGAGUACUGGAGAGGUGGGCGGAACUACAAGUGUAGAGGUGAAAUUCGUAGAUAUUUGUAGGAAUGCCGAUGGAGAAGUCAGCUCACUGGACAGAUACUGACGCUAAAGCGCGAAAGCGUGGGGAGNAAACAGGAUUA
rnacentral:rRNA from 1 species